rnacentral:lncRNA from 1 species
CCCAUGUGUCAUGUCCUUGCUCUUAGAGAAUGAGUGGAAAGCUGGGCAUCCUGAGACUGUCCUUGGGCUACAACAGAGCCGUGCACGUAUCUGGGAAACAAGCCCUGUAGCAGCUCUGGAGAAGCCAUUCCUCAAGGAGAGCUACCUGCUGCAAUACUCUCCAAAUGAACUUCCUGUAAGGACGGGCGCCUGUUUUGAGGUAGGGCAUUCCCAAAGUACCACCAAAUGUUGGUGAGUAUCACUGAAUGGUUCUCAAGUGGUUCACAGUUUGGACUUUUAUUUGGGGAAAGAAAUGGUCACAGUGACUGACAUUAAUGGGUAAAGGCAUGGGAGGUAAAUGAAUCCUACAAUAUGAUCAUAGUCUUUUCCCGUGAAGCGCUGUCACACCCAAAAGGCCAACAGUGCUAGUCCUUGAAAGAGACAUUAAGCUGUUGUCACCUGGUAUAGUAACAAAGAUAAAAACUUCAUUUGUCAUGUAUUUUUUCUGCUACAGAACAUGUCAGAUAAUUUCAGCAUAUUUUGCCAGAUACAAAGAAUAUUUAUAUUGCACAAAAAUAUUUCAGUGAAAACCCAG